AUGUGGCCUCAACUUCAAAAACACCCAAUCUCCUACCUAAAAAUGAAUUUCCUUUCUUUUAUGGUCAGCCCGAUCCUUCAUACGACCUUGAGCACGUUGUAUGUGGUACGUGAGCUGCCGCAGUGCCUCAUCCCUGUCCAUCAAAUCAUGCUGAACAGCUUCCGUUUUAGUCUCUCCAGGCAGAAAACGAAUGAUAGUGGGGGGUGGUCUUCUGUACACCGCUUCAAAAGGAGUCGAGCCAAUUGA